CCAUGAGAGAACUAAUCAAACCCGAAAAAGUACCACCUGGGGGUUGGUUUGAGACAACUGGACCAGCAUUUUGAGGGUUAAGUAUCAUUUGAGAAGCUGGAGGAGGACCUCGAGGUAGAGGUGGCCGGAGCCUGGCCUGUGAGUGCAAGGUGUUUGGGAUAUUGUUGACUGGUAAAGGAAGAUGCCUAGCAGGUAUAAGAUUUGAAGGAGCCAUACUCAUGACAGCACCAUGCCCUUGUACAGUAUAUCCAUGGUUCAAUGGAAGUGCCAGUGGAUGAGGUGGCAUUGAAGCCACAGAUGGUGGAAGAUUUUCUUGAGCCUCAUUAGAUGGAAGAAACUGUGGCUGGAAAGGAUUAGCUUGAGCCUGGUUUUGCUUAUUCUGCACAGUCUGUUGACUGGGUAAUAGUGGUCGAUUCAUCAAACUGGGUUCUUUGCUUUCAAGGCCAUUGAACUGUUGGUCAGUCAAAAAGGAAGACUUAUGUAAACCCUGAUUUACACUAUUACUAGCAGUUAUUGAAUCAAACUGACUUUUACUUUGCUUCUGUGGUGGAAAAAUGGUGUGCACAGGAGGUGGAUGAGAUUUAUGCA
rnacentral:misc_RNA from 1 species